UGUAUUACUACCACUCUGUAUGACUCUGGUGUGCCUGCAACUGAAGUAUUGUGUUCAGUUCUGUACUCCACACUACAGGAAGGAUAUAGCCAGUUUGGAAUCAGUGCAGCGUAGGGCCACGAGGAUUGUUGCCAGAUUGCAGGGAAGGCCAUAUGAGGCAAGACUGAGGGAACUGGGUCUCUUCAGCCUGGAGAAGAGGAGACACCGAGGGGAUCUGUUGGUGACAUACAGGUACGUGAGGUGGUGUCAAGUGGAGGUG